rnacentral:rRNA from 1 species
AUUGAACGCUGGCGGAAUGCUUUACACAUGCAAGUCGAACGGCAGCACGGGGCAACCUGGUGGCGAGUGGCGAACGGGUGAGUAAUACAUCGGAACGUGCCCAAUCGUGGGGGAUAACGUAGCGAAAGUUACGCUAAUACCGCAUACGAUCUACGGAUGAAAGCGGGGGAUCGCAAGACCUCGCGCGGACGGAGCGGCCGAUGGCAGAUUAGGUAGUUGGUGGGAUAAAAGCUUACCAAGCCGACGAUCUGUAGCUGGUCUGAGAGGACGACCAGCCACACUGGGACUGAGACACGGCCCAGACUCCUACGGGAGGCAGCAGUGGGGAAUUUUGGACAAUGGGCGCAAGCCUGAUCCAGCCAUGCCGCGUGCAGGAUGAAGGCCUUCGGGUUGUAAACGUGCUUUUGUACGGUAACGAAAAGACUCUCUCUAAUACAGGGGUGAAGUGACGGUACCGUAAGAAUAAGCACCGGCUAACUAACGUGCCAGCAGCCGCGGUAAAACGGU